rnacentral:misc_RNA from 1 species
AAGUCGUAACAAGGUUUCCGUAGGUGAACCUGCGGAAGGAUCAUUAAAAAAGGGUCGUAAGACCUAUUUUUAAACACUAUCGCCGCCUAUUAUCUAUGGGUAGGAUACUCUUGUCUAUGGGUGAGAUGGAGGAGGUAGGGUUUUUUAAAAUCCAAUUAUUAUUAUAAAAUAUAUCGUCUAAUGACGAACCAAAAAAAAUUAUUAAAACUUUCAACAAUGGAUCUCUUGGCUCUC